rnacentral:tRNA from 1 species
GCAACCGUAGCUCAGCUGGAUAGAGCGUUGCCCUCCGGCGGCAAAGGUCAGAGGUUCGAAUCCUCUCGGGCGGGCCA